UACGGAGGGUGCAAGCGUUGUCCGGAUUUAUUGGGUUUAAAGGGUGCGUAGGCGGCUAAUUUAAGUCAGCGGUGAAAUUCCACAGCUCAACUGUGGAACUGCCAUUGAUACUGGUUGGCUUGAGUACAGAUGAGGUAGGCGGAAUUGACAGUGUAGCGGUGAAAUGCUUAGAUAUUGUCAAGAACACCUAUUGCGAAGGCAGCUUACUAAGCUGUAACUGACGCUGAGGCACGAAAGCGUGGGGAUCAAACAGG
rnacentral:rRNA from 1 species